rnacentral:snRNA from 1 species
GUUUGCUUCAACACACACAACUAAAACUGGAACAGUACAGAGAUGAUUAGCACUGCCCUGUACAGGAGGACACUCAAGUCUGUGAAGUAUUUCAUAUUUUU